rnacentral:lncRNA from 1 species
AAGGAGAAGUCUCCUAUGUAACAACUUUUACCAUCAAUCCUCGUCGUCUGCCACUAAAAUCCUAGAGGGACGAAAAACAAGAAUGAGUGUGUCUGAAAAUGAAGUUUUGUAAAACUUUUUUUGAAAAGUGUAACCCUCAUUUUAAAACAAGUAUAUGAUUUCUCAAGAAUAUUAUAAUACUAAUAUGUAAUACGGUACCUUGCAGCAAAAAUGAGUUGAAAGAUGUAUAGCACAACAAGUCUCCAUAACAUUAAAUCUUAAAUUGAUAUCAUAAGAAAUCAAUGCUCAUUAAUUUAUGUAGGCAUACAAGUCCAUUGCAGAAAUAUUCAAACAAUGGAAUAGGCUGGGUGUAGGUUUUACAUUUUAGCACUACAUCACGUGAGCUGCACUAUUCACAUCACAUACGAGUCAAACACAUCAAUACAAAAGGAUAGGCGUACAUGCUAACACCUAACUCUGGAUCUAAAACGAAUGUAAAAAAUGCAUGUGAACUACACGUGAAGCUGAUACUUUGUCCAAGACAGUACAAAUAACUAAGAGACACCAUGCAAACAUGUAAUAAUGAGCAGGUAAAACGCAAGGAUGUCAUGCCACAAGUUUAUACUCACAAAUAAUAUUAAAAACAUAACCUGUACGAAAAUUUUAUUUAUAAAGCUAAAUAUGAUAUGUCAAAUCAUAAUACAUAAAAAUAGUUGUUUAGAAAAUCACACACACACACACGUAAAAACAAAAAGAUCCACUCACGUGACCAUAACGUGCUCACCCUCAAUGAGCCUUGUCGUUUGUCGAUCCAAACAAAAGCUUAUACCUAUACCGGAGCUGGUUUGGUAUUGCUGUGAGAAUAAAGGGCUGUGCUGAAUAAGCGGUUGUGAAAUAAAUCAGCAGAGUGUUUGGUAAAUUUUUUUGUAAAAGUGAUUUUGGAAAAGAAAAAAAGCAGCAUGAUAGUAAGUAUUUUCAUUAAAGGACCACUGUAGCUCUGUGUGUUUUGAAAAAAAACCAGUUUUCCAAAGCUGCAAAUAGCUUUUUCAGCUUUUCCUUUGAUUUAGCUUUCAAAAUAAGCUCUUUUUUUUUAGUUUACCAAACACCUAAAACCCUCACAACUUUUUUUCAUGGGUGCUUUUUUUUGAAGUACCUCCCUCCCAAACCAUCCCAAAGUCACGUUAACUUUAGCAAAUUACUUAAACAUAAAUCAUACACAAAAUGGACAGAUUAUAAUUAACCUGUCCAAAUUUCACAUUUUAUUACAAAAUUCCAUUACAUACAUGUUUGGGGGAGUCCAUGCAAUACAGAGGUAAUGGUCAGCUCAAAUCCGGCAAAUCUGGAUCUCGUUCAUGCACGAUUUUGGGCUCAAAUACCAGUGGGUACAUGCAAGCACCCAAGUACAGAUUCAUGAGUAUGCAGGUAUUAAGAUCAAUCCAUGGAGACAUACAUAGAGAUCAGACAUGCAAUGAUUUUCUUUUAUGGUUUUCAAACUGCUGCACUUUCUGAACAAGAACAAAGAUGAAAAUCGUGGGUUAUACCUUCAGAUUACGGAUCUGAGUUGAGAGGAACUCCGUAGUUCCUUUCUUGCAUUGCGAUUUGGGGCUGGAUCCGUUGCUCCAUCUUCAAUUCUCUUUUUGGAUCCCCAUUCCCCGAAACAGACCAACACAUGCAUGAGGUUUCACAUAUUUCCACCACUAAAUGCCAAUGGACCAGAAAAUUUUCAGACAGAAUGAGGAUUCUUACUUUUCGGUGAGGGUUGGGGCUGUGAUUUUAAAGGUUUCAAAGAUGAGUCGAGAAGAAAUGGGGGCUGCAGAGAGACAGAGCUACGGGAGGCAGAGAGUAGAGAUGUGAGGAAGAUGACUGGAAAGAGAUGGGAAAUGAGGGAGUGGGACGUGAAGAGGGGGGCGGAGGGGAGAGAUGAAGAGAGAGAGCUUUGGAUCUAUCGAUCAUCGCCUGAACCCCUCCACAUUUUGGACUUCAGAGUUAAUUUCUACGAAAACAAAAAUCAGUGUUUCACUAAUAUUAUGUUUGGAUGAAAAAAAUUCAGAUUGCUAAGAAAUUUUAAAAUGAUGAAAAUUAAAAUGAGAAGAUUUUAUUUUUUUAGAAUUUUUAAAAUUUUUUUGUUUUGUUAACCUAAAAGAAUAAUGGAAUUGAAUAUGAAAUUUGUUAUUUUUAAACUCUCGAUCAUAGAAAUUGGAAAAUGACACAUAUUUACAUGGAAUUUGAACUUGGGAAUUGGAGGUCACAAAUUCCAAGUUUUUUUUCCACACGAAAAUUCUAAAUUUUUAUGUUUAUGAAUCCAAAUAGAGAAAUUUGUACAUAUCAAUUUAUAAAUUCUGAUUUUUAUCAAAAUUCGAAGUAUAAUAGGAAUAACUAUUAUUUAACCAAAAAAAAAAUUCAAAUAAUUAAAUAUAACUUUGAGGUAUUUAUUUCCUUCCCAAGGUGACCCAUCAUCGUCUGCGUUCUACCACAAUUUCCAUCACAAGAUUACAUGGAUCAACGCCACCUAUAUACACAACAUUAUAAAAUACUCUUUCAUUUUUUUUAAAUUAUUUUUCAUGGGGAAAAGUAAAUGCAGCAGUAUAGAUGAUGACCGCAAAAGUAAUUGCAGUGUCUGCAAGAAGAUUACUACUUGGGAGAGAGAGAUGAUGUCGGUUGAAAAUGGGGAAAACAGAGUGCGAGAGUUGAGAGAUGAGCGCAGGUGAGUGAGAAGAGAGAGAGUGACGUCUGAGAAAAGACUCAGGAGAGGGUUGGAUGAGAUGAGGGAAAAAAGAGAGGAAUUUGAAAGAAAAUAUAAUUAAAAAAUAAAAGAAGGAAUACAAUGGGUGAUUAACACAAGAAAAAAUCUGCUACAAUUGGGGAAUCACGGUAUGGGAUUUCAAAUCCCAAAUUAAAAAUUAAAUGUGAGUCCCGCAGCUUACUUGUAGAAAUAUGAUAAGAAAUGUAUAAGUUUGAAUUUAUUUCUUAUAAAAAGGAAAGGAUAAAUUAAACUUUACUUUCUCAAGUUUGAAAUCGAUUUUAAUUCUUUAUAACAUAUUUAAAACAUUUUAAUUUCAUAUUUCACGUCCUAUUUUAUUUCAAUUUCAUAGAUCUGUUAGAAAAUCUGUUAAGUAAACUGUUAAGUGAUGAUGUGGCAAAUAAAGGGUCUCCAUUUAUGCUGACGUGGCUGACACAUUUAUGCCACGUGACUAAAUACUUAAUUAAAAAAAUUAAAUUAAUUAAUUAAAGAAAAGCAAAAAAAAAAAGAAGCCUAAACCCAGUUUGUCUUCCCCACCGAGAACACCCCAACCAAAUCGGACGUGCCCUUUCUCCCGUCACCAACCCUAUCCCCCAAUUUUUCCCCUAGACCAUCACCUCCUCCUCUCCUCCCGCUGCAACAUCUCAUCCGUUGGCAAAACCCCAAACCCCAAAAAAAUCCAAUCCUAAGCUUUCUCCAACCCAGAUUCUCUAGCCUCUCCGUACACCACUCCCAUGGCCACAAGCAUUGGCGAAAGACACCCACCGAGUCUUAUCAACCUUCGCGGGCUCAGUCUCAACUCGGAUUGGCUCUGAUUCCGUUCAGGUCGUCGCCGACCCAUUAGGAACGAAAAACCCCAAAGGGUUAACGGGUAUGUGGGAGGGAGGUGACUGGGAGUACGUGAUUCCAUUGGAGCAAACGGCCUAAGCUUUGAGCCGGUGAGCUCAGCGCAAGUUGUAGAUUUCGAUUUGGGUAAUCGGCGAGCCCAGCCAGUGUUGUCCUUGCUAUGUAAUUUUGUGGAAAUCGGGUGUCAUUUUCAUAUUUCGGUUUGUUGCUC